GCCGGCUUCCGUGUGCCUUGCUCGGAGCGCCGCGCGCUCAGGACCGACGGCCCCUUUCGGGGAGAAGUUGUUGUGCCCCCGACCGGGCGAGGCCAGAAACAUUCCUGGCCGCAAACCCGCAGCAGAGCACGGGCUGCUGUUCCCUUGGCUCCAGGAGCAGCAGCAAGGCCGGACGCGUGGUCCCUGGGUCCCGCGAGGCCUCUGCCCGGGAGGACAAACCCCCUGGGACGGGAAACGUGAACUGGGACUGGCCGGGCAGGAAGGCCUGCCUCGGCGCCUCCCAGGGCUCGGGGUCGCCGCGUCCGUGCCCACGGGGCCUUGCCCCAGGGGUGGUCGCUGCCCGGGCCGCAGCUCUCGGCCCCCGGCACCGCCUGAGCCCUGUGCGCCCACAGCCUUGCGGCACCGCGGACUGGCUGCCGAGCCGGGGUCUGAGCGCAGGGAUGAGGAGGCUGCUCUGCGGCGUCACGCGGGCCUUUAGCACCUGCGCUCCCGCUGGGGCCGGGGGCGUUUGCGACACCUGCCUGUGCCCGGUGCCCACGGCCGGGGCGCCGUGACUCCCUAACCGCACUGCGCGUGCCAGCCCUCAGCUGGGGAGGGCGCCCCUGGGUGCACAUGCGGCUGCUUUCCAGAAACGUGGUGGUGCCACUUGCCUCGUGAAACCCGCUCUUGUUUGGUGCAGACUCACGUCUGCGGUGAACGGCUGUUUCCUCUGUGGGCUUCCGUCCCCUUCCCCCAAGGACGCUUGCGGAGAAGGCGCCUGCCUCUUUCUAGGAUGCCCUGGGGUCCUGUGCCCUGAGGACCGGCCAUCCUCCAAGGGCCCAGCCCAGGUGGACACUGGCUCUCAGGGAGCGCCCCGGGAGGCCGAGGCCCAGGGAGGUGGACGGGGCCGCUCGUGGAGGGCGUGUGGUCGUUUGCAGCCCAGGCCCCUCCUCCACGGCUGGAGCAGGACCGAGCAGGGCCGAGGCCGUGUCGGCCUCCUGCGCCCACCGUCGGGCACCGGAGACCCCGGAGGGCCGCACGGCAGCAGAGCGGUCACCUCAGGGCGAGACUCGGGAGCUGUGGGCCGGGGGGCACCAGCCCGGGACCCUCUGUUCUCCCAAACGCGAGUGGGCCGAGCGGCCAACUGCAGGGCCCACAGGACAGGCUGGAGCCUCUCCAGGGAUGGUGCAGGACGGUGGGGCCGGCACGGUCGUCGCCGGGGCGCUGGCUCGGGCCGCCUAACUGCUCUGCCGUCGGCUGCGUGGACAUCAGAAAAUUCUUCACCUGCUGCCCCACGGCUGGACGCCCAGGACUCGGGUGGGCCGCAGGCUGGGCCCGCUGAGGGCCGUCUCCCUGGCCGCCUUGUUGCCGUGUCCCCACCUGGCCUCUGCAGCUGCGGGGAGCGCCGUCUGGCGUCUCUAACUCUUGUUAGGACAGCGGCCCUGCGGGUUAGGGCGCCGCCUUUAGGGCCUCCCUCCACCUCCGGCACCCGGGGCAGGAGGCCUGCAGGGAACUCGUGGGACGUCGUCGAGUGCACGUGCCGGGGCCCCUGCUGGAGCCCCUCCGCCGCCUGCAGGACGCCGUCCCACGAGCCCGGCCGGCUCCCCCCAGCGCUGGGUCAGCACCGCUCAGGAGCCCAGCUGCUGCCGCCCGCCGUCGCCAGCCCCGCUCCCGCGUCCCC
rnacentral:lncRNA from 1 species